GGUCCGCCCGGUUAGCUCAAUCGGUAGAGCGUUGGACUCUGAAUCGGACAACCCGGGUUCGAUUCCCGGGCGGACCA